rnacentral:miRNA from 1 species
GGUUUCUCUGUGUAGUCCUGGCUGUCCUGGAACUCACUCUAUAGACCAGGCUGGACUCGAACUCAGAAAUCCACCUCCCUCUGCCUCCAGACUGCUGGGAUUAAAGGCGUGCGCCACCAAUGCCCA